UACGUAGGUGGCGAGCGUUAUCCGGAAUUACUGGGCGUAAAGAGCGUGUAGGCGGCCAAACAGGUCCGUUGUGAAAACUGGAGGCUCAACCUCCAGACGUCGACGGAAACCGUAUGGCUAGAGUCCGGAAGAGGAGAGUGGAAUUCCUGGUGUAGCGGUGAAAUGCGCAGAUAUCAGGAAGAACACCUAUGGCGAAGGCAGCUCUCUGGGACGGUACUGACGCUGAGACGCGAAAGCGUGGGGAGCGAACAGG
rnacentral:rRNA from 1 species